AUUGAACGCUGGCGGCAUGCCUUACACAUGCAAGUCGAACGGCAGCACGGGUGCUUGCACCUGGUGGCGAGUGGCGAACGGGUGAGUAAUACAUCGGAACAUGUCCUGUAGUGGGGGAUAGCCCGGCGAAAGCCGGAUUAAUACCGCAUACGAUCCACGGAUGAAAGCGGGGGACCUUCGGGCCUCGCGCUAUAGGGUUGGCCGAUGGCUGAUUAGCUAGUUGGUGGGGUAAAGGCCUACCAAGGCGACGAUCAGUAGCUGGUCUGAGAGGACGACCAGCCACACUGGGACUGAGACACGGCCCAGACUCCUACGGGUGGCAGCAGUGGGGAAUUUUGGACAAUGGGCGAAAGCCUGAUCCAGCAAUGCCGCGUGUGUGAAGAAGGCCUUCGGGUUGUAAAGCACUUUUGUCCGGAAAGAAAUCCUUGGCUCUAAUACAGUCGGGGGAUGACGGUACCGGAAGAAUAAGCACCGGCUAACUACGUG
rnacentral:rRNA from 1 species